rnacentral:rRNA from 1 species
UACAGAGGGGGCAAGCGUUAUUCGGAAUUAUUGGGCGUAAAGGGCGCGUAGGCGGCUUGGCAAGUGGAAGGUGAAAUCCCUCGGCUUAACCGAGGAACUGCCCUCCAAACUGCUUUGCUUGAGGCCGGGAGAGGUGAGUGGAAUUCCCAGUGUAGCGGUGAAAUGCGUAGAUAUUGGGAGGAACACCAGUGGCGAAGGCGGCUCACUGGACCGGUUCUGACGCUGAGGCGCGAAAGCUAGGGGAGCGAACGGG